GGUAGACCUAACCGCUAAGGGAGGGCGCUUACCACGGUGAGUAGUUACAUGACUGGGGUG
rnacentral:rRNA from 1 species